AUCACGUGGCUUAUGUAAGCAAACAUAAAAUCAAAGUAAAGUUGUGUCAUUAAUUAAGUGCAAUUAAGUAUAAGCGAAUGCUAAAACCACAAGUGAACUAAAUUAACAACAAAAUACAUAUAAGCAUGUCAAAAUUAAGGGCUCACUGACGACUAAAAUCAGUAAGUCUGCUUAGUGCACGGAGUCAACGGCAAACAGAGCGUUGAGUCGAGACUUUACUUUACUUUAGGCUGCUGCUGCUGGCGGUGCUCGCGCUGCUUGCACAGUGGCAACUACUAUAACUACUGCUAGGAUUCGCCAAAGUCAGCCCACGCAGCAAAAAGUUUCACGUGUAAACAGCAACAGCAAUGGCAAUAGCUGAGACGUCGACGCGGGCGCUGGCGUUGGCGUUGGAGUUGGCGUUGGUUUCUUGAAGUCUGCAACACCUGUGCGGGUUACUCGCUUACAGUGCAGCCAGUUAUCGUCAGCGUAUAUUUGCUUAUUGUGUUUGUAAACAUUGCUAACAACUUGAGUAAUGCCGGCGACAACGUAGCCCCCGCCCACGCUCCCGCUCACACAGUUGUUCUUGUUACAGUUACUCUAACUGUUACUUUUACAAUUGCUAAUAGCGGGCGGCGAGUGCGUGAGAGCGUGUGAGAGUGAGAAUGGGAAUGAGAAUGUGCGCGCUCUUUCUUUCUAUCGCGCCCAGCAACUGGCAGCAAGUUGUAAGUGCUCAAGUUUUUCAAUUAAAAGUUGCUACCUUUUUGUGUUACUGCGGCGGCAAAACAUAAAUAUGUGCACAUACGAGAGAGAGCGGACGACUGGCUGAUUGAGCACACAAACACAUAUACACAUAUGUAUUGGCUCUAUAUGUCAGUGUGUGUGUGUGUGUGUGUGACUCUAAUCAUUGCUGCAUGCUAAAUAGCUCAGGCAGCGACUCCUUUGCAUGGCGCGCGCGUAAAUCAACAGUAACAAUCAACGACAGCAAACAAACAAUGGAAUGGCAGCCAUACGCUGGAGUCGGAGUCGUAGCCUGGGCUGACAGUCGGGCAGGUGUUGAAGUCCAGAGCCAUUAUAAAUUCAUACGAAAAUAUCGUAACGUCAAACAAAUUGCAAGUUUUCAGUUGCAUUUCCGCCUAAAACGUAACUGAAAUAAUACGUUGCUGUCAAGCGGAGCGCCGCAAACAACAGCAACAACAGCAGCAGCAGCGGCAACAUCAGCUUGUAUGGUAUCAAAUGUUGCAAACCCAGACAAAUUGAAGGUAGGCCAAAGGCAAUGCAAUGUCUUCGUCGCUUGACUUCUGCUACUGGCUGCACCAGCUCUUGGGGUAAGCUUGCUUGCAUUUCUAUAUCCAAAGUGUCUAUGUGUGUGUGUGUGUGUUCGCAUGACAAGUUGAAAUGUUGACGGCUUACUGACAGUCUGAGUGCACGUAGCACGCCUCUGUAUGUGUGUGAGCGUAUAACUGCAUUUAUACUAUAAAUAUAAGGCAUCAGCCUGCUAUAUAUUUUAUAAAAAAUGGUUGGGCAUGCUAGUAAAGUUGCUAGAAUUAAAUAUUUAUAAGAAACUAUGACUACAAAUUCGUUAUAUUUACUGUAUUUUAAAGCAAAGCCACAGUCAAGUUUAACUUUCAACUGGCAUCGGAUUACAGCCCACAGCGCAGCUUAGCCCUUUACUCACAUUACAGGAUAUAGCUUUUGUCUAAGCCCCACAUACUUUUUACGCUGUUGAAAAAUCAUACAAAGUUAUGCAAAUUCUGCUGUGGACUUCGUUGUUGACGUCGCCAAUGCCAACACCAGUGUUGUUGUUGCUGUCCGUGCUGUUGGUUUUGAUGUUGGUGUUGCCGGUGUAGCCACUGCUGCAAUGGUUUUUGCGGUUUGGCAUGCAUAAUUGUUGGUUUUUAGUUACACGUUAGGCUGCAAUACGUUUAUAAAAAUUGGCAAGCCAAUGGCAAAGGAAUUUUUAUGUUUGACUUACUCACACAUGCAAGCACAAAGGAGUGCAAUUGCUAUAUUUACAUAUAACGUAUACGUAUAUUCAAUGCCUUUUAAUUAAAACCACAGACACAUUUGCUCACUUUGUAUUGGCAUUUCUUUGUGCUAUUUACAUUUACCUUCGACUUCGGCUACUGCUUUUGUUUUUUCACUUGGCAGGGAGUGACUAUCAUCAAAAAACAAUUCAGCUGCGGAGCGUCCGCAAAAUAAUGGACGUUAGGCCUUCGCUUGAUAAGCUAAAUGAUAAAUUGUUUUUAUUCGUGACAUGUGCACACACACACACAGACAUACGUGCACACACUUGAAGUUGCAAAAGCAGAAACUUUAGCAAAUGCGUAAGUUCUGUGGUUUGUGUUUUGCUUCGAAAAAAAAUUUAUCUGUCUACAUGUUAAGAGAGAAGCAAAGCAAAACAAAAAGAACAUGCAGAGGAAACUUGUAAACGCGCCUGGGCACAAAAGUGGAAUCUAAUAAGCUCACGGCUAAACGUGUUAUGAUGAAUGACAUUGUCAGCCGCACUCGGAAUUUAAAACUUGCGUCCAGAGGGCAAUGCCAAACAACAAGUCCAACCAACCAACCAACAAGUUCAGUAAUUGAAAACUUCAAAUUCCAUAGCGAGCAGCCCCACAACUUCUUCGACUUUGCUUUAAUACUGCAACUACUGUUUAUAUAUCAAUUAAUAAUUAAACUCACAGCAGCAAAAGGUUUUAUUUUUUCAAUUUCUCUGCCAAUUGUCAUUGGCAACCUCUGCUAAACUAAUGUUGUGUAAACGAAUUGGAGCACCUUGCCGGGUGCAAAGGUCUCUGCUCUGCGGCCUCUCAGACUGUCUGUCAGUUGUGCUCAGCUAAUCAACUAAUAUAAAAUUUUCGUAUUCAUUCAUUAAAUUAAAAUUUCAUCCCGCUCAUCUGGUUUGAUUGCUCUGCGCCCAAGUGGCUGACGCGACGACUGACUGAGUGACUGUCAGGCGCCUCCAGUGCGCCAUUUGUGUACCGUUACCCAAGUCCUCCCCCACAGGAGAAAAAAAAAUAAACUCAGUUGCCAAUCCCAAAGCCCAAUUCCAAUCGCAAACGCAAUUGUUGGCUUUCUUUAGCUUUCGUCGGCAUGUUUAUUUGUUUGUUCUCGGUCUGCUUUAGCCAAACUGAUAAAUGCUAUAUAUAUAUAUAUAUAUAUACAAACGCACAGCAACUGACGCUCUCUGGCUUUCAUUUAUUUAUUUGCAUUUUGUAACGUAGCCGAAACUAUGUGGCCUGCCAUUGAAAUUCAUAAAGCAUCAAUAUACCAAAGUCAGCUUUGGCUGAGUGGGUGGUUGGCUGGCUGGCUUCGUCUGUAAUUUAUGGCGCUUUUUGUUUGAAAUCAUUUGCUUUAAUUCAAGUGAAAAAUUAUUUAAAUUGAUAAUCAAACGUGCACACAGUUAAAAACAUGCUCUCAGUCUCAGUUGUUGUUGUUGCUGCUGCUGCUGCUGUAGCGUUUCUUUGAUUUCCUCUCCAACUUCUAUUGUGAUUGCCGCAAGAAUUUGUUAUGUAAAUGAAAAUUGAUUUAAACUUAAACGCACAAAAUAUUGAUCAAAGUAAUUUCAGCAAACGCAGCCAAAACACAAAUAAUAUGCAAAAAGGCAGCUUGUCCCUAACACAAAUUGGACUUUAAGCGCGCACAAGCCAAUAUUUAAUUUUAAAUUAGUUUUACUACCAGUUGUAUGAGAUUCAAAAGAAAGAUUUA